rnacentral:lncRNA from 1 species
CUGAUCCAGAAGCUAAACCUAAAAAUGUGGGCAGUGGUUGCGGCGGAGCAGUCGCCUUUUAUCUCGCCGACUAGAGAACAAGCUGAUUCUCGUACUCUUAUACAUCGCGUUGUUCUCGAGAAGGGUUCUCCUUAAGAUCCAGCCCUCCGCAGGAAGAGCGGGUUAGAAAACACAUCAGAAAACAGGUUGUCGAUUUCCUGGGCACGCGCUACAGUGGCGAUGGAUAUCUGUUGAUGGGAGAAAAUUUCGGAGACAAAGACCAGCUGCCUGCCUGCCUGCCUCCCUGCCGGAAGCGCAGUGUAACCAGCAAUGUAGAAGGAGAUCAAGA